GUUUACUGUUCUAUCUCUGUUAUUUUUUCUAGGACUGGAGAGAUUGGAAUUCAAUAUUUUCCUGUUUCCAUCAUGUAUAUUUCUGUGCUACUAUAUACAGUUUAUGGCUUACUCUUUAUGUCCAAGUGUUACUGCUGCAAUUUUCAGAAAGAGAGGCCUUUAGUUACAGAUGUGACAAAGGAUAUUGGGGUAAAUGUGAGCUUACUCUCACUAAAUAGCUUACUGUUGCUGUAGAUAUGAAAAUAGAAUAAACUACUUAUAUCAAUUAUGAUACCAGAUAGAAUUU
rnacentral:misc_RNA from 1 species